rnacentral:rRNA from 1 species
GACAGAGGGUGCAAACGUUGCUCGGAAUUACUGGGCGUAAAGGGCGUGUAGGCGGGAAGGCAAGUCGGGCGUGAAAGCCCCAGGCUCAACCUGGGAACUGCACUCGAAACUGCCUUUCUUGAGUGCCGGAGAGGAAAGCGGAAUUCCUGGUGUAGAGGUGAAAUUCGUAGAUAUCAGGAGGAACACCAGUGGCGAAGGCGGCUUCUGGGACGGUAAC